GACGAACGCUGGCGGCGUGCCUAACACAUGCAAGUCGAGCGAGAGACUUCGGUCUCUAGCGGCGGACGGGUGAGUAACACGCGGGUAACCUGCCUCAUAGAGGGGGAUAGCCUUCCGAAAGGAAGAUUAAUACCGCAUAUACUCUCGAUACCACAUGGAAUUUAGAGGAAAGGAGCAAUCCGCUAUGAGAUGGACCCGCGGCGCAUUAGCUAGUUGGUGAGGUAACGGCUCACCAAGGCGACGAUGCGUAGCCGACCUGAGAGGGUGAUCGGCCACAUUGGAGCUGAGACACGGUCCAGACUCCUACGGGAGGCAGCAGUGGGGAAUAUUGCACAAUGGGCGAAAGCCUGAUGCAGCACCGCCGCGUGAGUGAUGACGGCCGACGGGUUGUAAAGCUCUGUCUUUUGGGACGAUAAUGACGGUACCAAAGGAGGAAGCCACGGCUAACUACGUGCCAGCCGCCGCCGUAAUAC
rnacentral:rRNA from 1 species